GACGAACGCUGGCGGCGUGCUUAACACAUGCAAGUCGAGCGGAAAGGCCCUGCUUUUGUGGGGUGCUCGAGUGGCGAACGGGUGAGUAACACGUGAGUAACCUGCCCUUGACUUUGGGAUAACUUCAGGAAACUGGGGCUAAUACCGGAUAGGAUCUCCUGCUGCAUGUUGUGGGUUGGAAAGUUUCGGCGGUUGGGGAUGGACUCGCGGCUUAUCAGCUUGUUGGUGAGGUAGUGGCUUACCAAGGCUUUGACGGGUAGCCGGCCUGAGAGGGUGACCGGCCACAAUGGGACUGAGAUACGGCGCAGUCUGCUACGGGAGGCAGCAGUGGGGAAUAUUGCACAACGGGCGGAAGCCUGAUGCAGCAGCGCCGCGUGCGGGAUGACGGCCUACGGGUUGUAAACAGAUUUCGACUGUGACGAAGAGUGAGUGACGGUAAUGGGUAAAGAAGCACCGGCUAACUACGUG
rnacentral:rRNA from 1 species